rnacentral:rRNA from 1 species
GUUGAAAAAUUAGCGGAUGACUUGUGGCUGGGGGUGAAAGGCCAAUCAAACCGGGAGAUAGCUGGUUCUCCCCGAAAGCUAUUUAGGUAGCGCCUCGUGAAUUCAUCUCCGGGGGUAGAGCACUGUUUCGGCAAGGGGGUCAUCCCGACUUACCAACCCGAUGCAAACUGCGAAUACCGGAGAAUGUUAUCACGGGAGACACACGGCGGGUGCUAACGUCCGUCGUGAAGAGGGAAACAACCCAGACCGCCAGCUAAGGUCCCAAAGUCAUGGUUAAGUGGGAAACGAUGUGGGAAGGCCCAGACAGCCAGGAUGUUGGCUUAGAAGCAGCCAUCAUUUAAAGAAAGCGUAAUAGCUCACUGGUCGAGUCGGCCUGCGCGGAAGAUGUAACGGGGCUAAACCAUGCACCGAAGCUGCGGCAGCGACGCUUAUGCGUUGUUGGGUAGGGGAGCGUUCUGUAAGCCUGUGAAGGUGUACUGUGAGGUAUGCUGGAGGUAUCAGAAGUGCGAAUGCUGACAUAAGUAACGAUAAAGCGGGUGAAAAGCCUGCUCGCCGGAAGACCAAGGGUUCCUGUCCAACGUUAAUCGGGGCAGGGUGAGUCGACCCCUAAGGCGAGGCCGAAAGGCGUAGUCGAUGGGAAACAGGUUAAUAUUCCUGUACUUGGUGUUACUGCGAAGGGGGGACGGAGAAGGCUAUGUUGGCCGGGCGACGGUUGUCCCGGUUUAAGCGUGUAGGCUGGUUUUCCAGGCAAAUCCGGAAAACCAAGGCUGAGGCGUGAUGACGAGGCACUACGGUGCUGAAGCGACAAAUGCCCUGCUUCCAGGAAAAGCCUCUAAGCAUCAGGUAACAUCAAAUCGUACCCCAAACCGACACAGGUGGUCAGGUAGAGAAUACCAAGGCGCUUGAGAGAACUCGGGUGAAGGAACUAGGCAAAAUGGUGCCGUAACUUCGGGAGAAGGCACGCUGAUAUGUAGGUGAAGCGACUUGCUCGUGGAGCUGAAAUCAGUCGAAGAUACCAGCUGGCUGCAACUGUUUAUUAAAAACACAGCACUGUGCAAACACGAAAGUGGACGUAUACGGUGUGACGCCUGCCCGGUGCCGGAAGGUUAAUUGAUGGGGUUAGCGGCAACGCGAAGCUCUUGAUCGAAGCCCCGGUAAACGGCGGCCGUAACUAUAACGGUCCUAAGGUAGCGAAAUUCCUUGUCGGGUAAGUUCC